GACGAACGCUGGCGGCGUGCUUAACACAUGCAAGUCGAACGGAAAGGCCCUGCUUUUGUGGGGUGCUCGAGUGGCGAACGGGUGAGUAACACGUGGGUAACCUGCCCUUGACUUUGGGAUAACUUAAGGAAACUGGGGCUAAUACCGGAUAGGAGCUCCUGCUGUAUGGUGGGGGUUGGAAAGUUUCGGCGGUUGGGGAUGGACUCGCGGCGUAUCAGCUUGUUGGUGGGGUAGUGGCUUAGCAAGGCUUGGCCGGGUAGCCGGGCUGAGAGGGUGACAGGCCACACUGGGACGGAGAUACGGCCCAGACUCCUACGGGAGGCAGCGGUGGGGAAUAGUACACAAUGGGCGGAAGCCUGAUGCAGCAACGCCGCGUGCGGGAUGACGGCCAUCGGGUUGUAAACCGCAUUCGCUUGAGACGAAGCGUGAGUGACGGUAAUGGGUAAAGAAGCACCGGCUAACUCCGUG
rnacentral:rRNA from 1 species